CCCCUAUCCCAUGUUGCCAGCUCCGCAAGGAGCGCACUCUUGGGAGACUGCCUCGGAUAACGGGGAGGAAGGUGGGGACGACGUCAAAUCAGCAUGGCCCUUACGCCUUGGGCGACACACGUGUUACAAUGGACAGUACAAUGGGCCGCCAAGUCGCGAGACGGAGCUAAUCCCAUCAAAGCUGUUCUCAGUUCGGAUUGGAGUCUGCAAUUCGACUCCAUGAAGCCGGAAUCGCUAGUAAUCGUGCAUCAGCCACGGCACGGUGAAUACGUUCUCGGGUCUUGUACUCACCGCCCGUCACGCCAAGAGAGCUGGGGGUACCCGAAGGUACGCGAUCGCGUGCCGAAGGUAAAACCAGUGAUAGGGGCGAAGUCGUAACAAGGCAGCCCUAGCGGAAGCUGGGGCUGGAUCACCUCCUUUCUAGGGAGU
rnacentral:rRNA from 1 species